rnacentral:rRNA from 1 species
UGAAUACGAGAUGCUACGGCGUCGAAGCAGUCUAUGUCAUACUUCCAAGAAAAGCUUGCACUGUCAUAAACAAAUAAUGCCUGUACCAUAACCGACACAGGUGGGUAGGUAGAGUAUACUAAGGGGCGCGAGAUAACUCUCUCUAAGGAACUCGGCAAAAUGACUCCGUAACUUCGGGAGAAGGAGUGCCUUAUUUAUAAGGUUGCAAUAACAAGAUCCAAGCAACUGUUUACCAAAAACACAGGUCUCCGCUAAGUCGUAAGACGAUGUAUGGGGGCUGACGCCUGCCCAGUGCCAGAAGUUUAAAGAAGUUGGUUAGCAUCCGCGAAGCUGAUAACUGAAGCCCUGGUGAACGGCGGCCGUAACUAUAACGGUCCUAAGGUAGCGAAAUUCCUUGUCGGGUAAGUUCCGACCCGCACGAAAGGCGUAAUGAUUUGGAUACUGUCUCGGAGAGGGGCUCGGUGAAAUAGACUUGUCUGUGAAGAUGCGGACUACCUGCACCAGGACAGAAAGACCUUAUGAAGCUUUACUGUAACCUGAAAUUGAAAUUGGACUUUACUUGCGCAGUAUAGGUGGGAGGCGUUGAGAAUAUUCUUGCGGGAUUAUUGGAGCCAUCAGUGAGAUACCACUCUUGUAAUGUUAGAUUUCUAACUUUGUAUCAUUAUCUGGUCAAAGAACAGUUUCAGGCGGGCAGUUUGACUGGGGCGGUCGCCUCCUAAACGGUAACGGAGGCGCACAAAGGUUUCCUCUGAACGGGUAGAAAUCGUAUCUAGAGUGUAAAGGCAUAAGGAAGCUUGACUGUGAGACCUACAAGUCGAGCAGGGACGAAAGUCGGUCUUAGUGAUCUGACGGCGCUGAGUGGAAAGGCCGUCACUCAACGGAUAAAAGUUACUCUAGGAUAACAGGCUGAUCUCCCCCAAGAGUUCACAUCGACGGGGAGGUUUGGCACCUCGAUGUCGGCUCAUCGCAUCCUGGGGCGGUAGUACGUCCCAAGGGUUGGGCUGUUCGCCCAUGAAAGCGGUACGCGAGCUGGGUUCAGAACGUCGUGAGACAGUUCGGUCCAUAUCCGGUGUAGGCGUUAGAAUAUUGAGAGGAGCCUUCUUUAGUACGAGAGGACCGAGAAGGACAUACCUCUGGUGUACCAGUUAUCGUGCCAACGGUAAACGCUGGGUAGCUAUGUGUGGAGUGGAUAACCGCUGAAAGCAUCUAAGUGGGAAGCCCACCUCAAGAUGAGUAUUCUGGUGUAAGGUCACGGGAAGACGACCCGUAAAUAGGCACGAGGUGGAAGUGCAGAGAUGUAUGAAGCCGAAGUGUACUAAUAGACCGUCGGCUUGACC